rnacentral:rRNA from 1 species
GUGGGGAAUCUUGCACAAUGGGGGCAACCCUGAUGCAGCGACGCCGCGUGAGCGAUGAAGCCCUUCGGGGCGUAAAGCUCUUUCGACCGGAACGAUAAUGACGGUACCGGGAGAAGAAGCUGCGGCUAACUACGUGCCAGCAGCCGCGGUAAUACGUAGGCAGCAAGCGUUGUUCGGAGUUACUGGGCGUAAAGAGUGCGUAGGCGGUUUUCUAAGUUCGGUGUGAAAUCUCCCGGCUUAACUGGGAGGGUGCGCCGAAGACUGGGAAGCUGGAGUGUGGGAAAGGCAGGCGGAAUUCCUGGUGUAGCGGUGAAAUGCGUAGAUAUCAGGAGGAACACUGGCGGUGUAGACGGCUUGCUAGACCAUAACUGACGCUGAGGCACGAAAGCGUGGGU